rnacentral:rRNA from 1 species
ACGCUGGCGGCAGGCUUAACACAUGCAAGUCGAACGGUAACAGGGAUUAGCUUGCUAAUUUGCUGACGAGUGGCGGACGGGUGAGUAAUGCUUGGGAAUCUGGCUUAUGGAGGGGGAUAACUACGGGAAACUGUAGCUAAUACCGCGUAAUAUCGGAAGAUUAAAGGGUGGGACUUUCGAGCCACCUGCCAUAAGAUGAGCCCAAGUGGGAUUAGGUAGUUGGUUAGGUAAAGGCUGACCAAGCCGACGACCUCUAGCUGGUCUGAGAGGAUGACCAGCCACACUGGAACUGAGACACGGUCCAGACUCCUACGGGAGGCAGCAGUGGGGAAUAUUGCACAAUGGGGGGAACCCUGAUGCAGCCAUGCCGCGUGAAUGAAGAAGGCCUUCGGGUUGUAAAGUUCUUUCGGUGACGAGGAAGGUUGAUAGGUUAAUAGCCUAUCAAAUUGACGUUAAUCACAGAAGAAGCACCGGCUAACUCCGUGCCAGCAGCCGCGGUAAUACGGGGGGUGCGAGCGUUAAUCGGAAUAACUGGGCGUAAAGGGCACGCAGGCGGUGACUUAAGUGAGAUGUGAAAGCCCCGAGCUUAACUUGGGAAUUGCAUUUCAUACUGGGUCGCUAGAGUACUUUAGGGAGGGGUAGAAUUCCACGUGUAGCGGUGAAAUGCGUAGAGAUGUGGAGGAAUACCGAAGGCGAAGGCAGCCCCUUGGGAAUGUACUGACGCUCAUGUGCGAAAGCGUGGGGAGCAAACAGGAUUAGAUACCCUGGUAGUCCACGCUGUAAACGAUGUCGAUUUGGGGAUUGGGCUUUGAGCUUGGUGCCCGUAGCUAACGUGAUAAAUCGACCGCCUGGGGAGUACGGCCGCAAGGUUAAAACUCAAAUGAAUUGACGGGGGCCCGCACAAGCGGUGG